rnacentral:rRNA from 1 species
GACGAACGCUGGCGGCGUGCUUAACACAUGCAAGUCGAACGGAAAGGCCCUGCUUUUGUGGGGUGCUCGAGUGGCGAACGGGUGAGUAACACGUGAGUAACCUGCCCUUGACUUUGGGAUAACUUCAGGAAACUGGGGCUAAUACCGGAUAGGAGCUCCUGGUGCAUGGUGGGGGUUGGAAAGUUUCGGCGGUUGGGGAUGGACUCGCGGCUUAUCAGCUUGUUGGUGGGGUAGUGGCUUACCAAGGCUUUGACGGGUAGCCGGCCUGAGAGGGUGACCGGCCACAUUGGGACUGAGAUACGGCCCAGACUCCUACGGGAGGCAGCAGUGGGGAAUAUUGCACAAUGGGCGGAAGCCUGAUGCAGCAACGCCGCGUGCGGGAUGACGGCCUUCGGGUUGUAAACCGCUUUCGCCUGUGACGAAGCGUGAGUGACGGUAAUGGGUAAAGAAGCACCGGCUAACUACGUG